rnacentral:rRNA from 1 species
UACGUAGGGUGCAGGCGUUAAUCGGAAUUACUGGGCGUAAAGCGUGCGCAGGCGGUCUCUUAAGACAGGUGUGAAAUCCCCGGGCUUAACCUGGGAACUGCGCUUGUAACUGAGAGGCUUGAGUGUGCCAGAGGGGGGUGGAAUUCCACGUGUAGCAGUGAAAUGCGUAGAUACCAAGUGGAACACCAGUGGCGAAGGCGAAUCCCUGGAAAAUACCUGACACUGAGGCACGAAAGCUAGGGGAGCAAACAGG